rnacentral:piRNA from 1 species
CAGUUAAUGAUUGUGUGUUUAAAAUAG